AGAAGACCUCCCAGUCUUGGCCCUUGGUGUACGUAUGGCAACACCGAUAAAUGCCGGCCUCGGUACCAGUGCCCCACGACAGAUCAUGGCAUACCGUCGCCGGAAGACAUUCGAGACGCAGAGCAUGUCGACAGCGGAAGAGAACCUCAAGGCGCCAACCACUGGUACCCAUGGAGAAUACAGCCUGAGCCUGGGCAGCAAACAAAAGAAGGCGACGCAGACGGCGGCUGUCGUCUGUGUCACCUUGUUAUGUUUGCUGCCCAAGCUCAGGCUGUGUUCUCCACAGAUAUCGUCCAGCAGCUGUCCUGCGUCCAUGCGAUAUCCCAACCACCACCACGACACAUGAAGGCGACGUCUGCGAGACAGCAUCAGUAAUGGGAAGUAUGACUGCGAAGGACAUCAGGGACAUCAUAGGUCCCUAUGUUUCUCCCGAAAGAAGACGGCAUCCCGCUGCCGGUCCCUCGACCGCUAUACGUGUACGGCCAGCUGAAAGGACUUACGAAGAACAAGUCCCACUCUAAAACGAGUCCAGAGACGACUUUUAACUGAAUCAAUCAAGCCAACCCACUCGACGUCCGGACGACGACACGUCGGACGUUGAAUAAGACAAGCCAAGAGAAAUGACAAGACAGAAAGUAUACCAGUAUGCCAGUGAACUGAAACGAGUCCACUAUGUGUCACCUUCACUUCACGAAACGCGUUAUGUAGUAUAUGCACGAUACGGCUUCGUGUUUAGACGCGGUCGCACAAGUGAACCGGUUCACAAACGCUCACCGAAAUACCUCCUGCCACUCAGGAGUCAGGACGGAUUUUCGGGACGACGCCGCAUAAUGCAUAAUGGCACGUGACGUUCUCUUGCUUUCGCCCCCUUUGAAACAUCCGAGCCUUAUGGAAAUGGUGUUCGCCUGUGGUUGUGAAGACCGCUUUUGACUUUUCAGUCGUUUUUGUUUAGUUUAUCUUUUCUUGCUGUGCGUGGGACGUUUCCGUAUAAAAUGAGUUCGAGAAGAAUUGAUGGUCAAGGAAGCGAAUGGUAUACGCAGGGGUUGAAAGGUGACGCGUCAAGAUAGGUCGUCUAGUGUCACUGUGGGACAUG